UAAAAUGGAUAAUGACAAUAUUUUGUUUUAGAUCUGAUGAACUUGCUCAUACAAGAGUUAUACUUUCAGGACUGACUAAAAGAAUUAAGUCAUUUUCAGGACAAUGACAACAGACCAGAAGACUUGGUGAAGCCACCUAACUUCUUAUCCAAAAGCUUUGUCUGGUAUUUCCAUUAUCACCCGGAACACUGCCACGUACUAAAAGACAAGUGGUAUGGCUAAGGGAUUGAAUGAACACAGUUAUCUGAAAUGUAGAUAUUUUGUCAUUCACCAUAUGUGCAUAAUAGCCUGUACAAGAUUCAGAUAAGUUUUGUAAUCUGCUUGCUUUCGUUAAUAUGGUGGAAGAGCAAGUUAGUUGACUGUUUCUUUGAAAACAUGUGCAAUGCUCUUUCUUUCUUCAUAGCUAUAGGAUAAUUCUGCAAGGAUUUUUAGAGUAACUCCACGGUUGAAUUCACCAAGGAAAGGACUCCUUGUACUCUGAAAUGGCUGUUGUUAUGUUUGCAAGGAUACAUCCCGCAGGCAGGUUGCCAAAAACCAAGAACAAUUCUCAUCACAGCUGUGUGGGGACGUCAGACUAGAAUGAUGUUCAAGCAACUUUGAAAAAGAUGUACAUUUUGUAACGCCAGCUUCUACAAGAUACACGCUGAGGUGCUACCUCUGUGGUGAGGGAAAGUGACAGCUGAAGAAAUAUAGGGAGCAAGUAGAAUUGAUGAUGCCACUAGAGGCGAAAGAGAUCAGCUGCGUGUCAGAAAACUGCUUAUUGCACUACUUAUUGCAUCAGGAUUCUGGACACACAGCCUGCACAAAGGACUGCUGA
rnacentral:lncRNA from 1 species